UACGUAGGGGGCUAGCGUUGUCCGGAUUUAUUGGGCGUAAAGAGCGUGUAGGCGGCCAGGUAGGUCUGCUGUGAAAACUCGAGGCUCAACCUCGAGACGUCGGCGGAAACCAUCUGGCUAGAGUCCGGAAGAGGAGAGUGGAAUUCCUGGUGUAGCGGUGAAAUGCGCAGAUAUCAGGAGGAACACCAAGUGCGAAGGCAGCUCGCUGGGACGUUACUGACGCUGAGACGCGAAAGCGUGGGGAGCAAACAGG
rnacentral:rRNA from 1 species